AAGAGUGUCUGUCACCUGAGGAAUGCUAGCAGGGGACUUUGGGUCUUUUUCAAAACUUAUGGAACCCUGGCGUUCACCCAAGCCUGGAAAUCAGUGCAGUUUCAUGAGUGAAGGUGGCAUUGGGAUCCCAAGUGCAGCCCCUCCUUAAGCAGGCGAGGAAGAGUGAGCGAAAUGGAAUCGUUAUUGGUCCAGACGAAUCUCAAAACCACCGUGCAAGACUCGCGAGAUCUGUGGAAGUAUUUUGUUACUCCGCCUGGUGUUAAGCCACAUUGUAGAAUCACCUCAACCUACCCAGAAAAUGCCAGACUCUGUAAGCAGUUUCGAUGCUGCCUCUAAAAGUUGAACCCUUUAUGUAUUUUUAACGGAUUUUUGAUUUCUUGAUAAAUAAUUGAAAUUUGUUAGAAAUUUCAUCAACAAGAUAAACUAUUAGAACUGUG